AACGAACGCUGGCGGCAGGCUUAACACAUGCAAGUCGAACGGGCGUAGCAAUACGUCAGUGGCAGACGGGUGAGUAACACGUGGGAAUAUCCCUUUCAGCUCGGAAUAACUCAGGGAAACUUGAGCUAAUACCGAAUACGUCUUUCGGGAGAAAGAUUUAUCACUGAGAGAUUAGCCCGCGUCUGAUUAGCUAGUUGGUGAGGUAAUGGCUCAACAAGGCGACGAUCAGUAGCUGGUCUGAGAGGAUGAUCAGCCACACUGGGACAGAGACACGGCCCAGACUCCUACGGGAGGCAGCAGUGGGGAAUAUUGGACAAUGGGGGCAACCCUGAUCCAGCCAUGCCGCGUGAGUGAUGAAGGCCUUAGGGUUGUAAAGCUCUUUUGCUAGGGAAGAUAAUGACUGUACCUAGAGAAUAAGCCCCGGCUAACUUCGUGCCAGCAGCCGCCGCGG
rnacentral:rRNA from 1 species